rnacentral:rRNA from 1 species
AUGAAGCUGGAAUUGCUAGUAAUCAUAGGUCAGCAUACUAUGGUGAAUACGUUCCCGGGCCUUGUACACACCGCCCGUCACACCAUGAGAGUUGAGAAUACCCGAAGUCCAUGUCAAAGUGGCCGAAGGUAGGCUUGAUGAUUGGGGUGAAGUCGUAACAAGGUAAC